GACGAACGCUGGCGGCGUGCUUAACACAUGCAAGUCGAACGGAAAGGCCCUGCUUUUGUGGGGUGCUCGAGUGGCGAACGGGUGAGUAACACGUGAGUAACCUGCCCUUGACUUUGGGAUAACUUCAGGAAACUGGGGCUAAUACCGGAUAGGAGCUCCUGCUGCAUGGUGGGGGUUGGAAAGUUUCGGCGGUUGGGGAUGGACUCGCGGCUUAUCAGCUUGUUGGUGGGGUAGUGGCUUACCAAGGCUUUGACGGGUAGCCGGCCUGAGAGGGUGACCGGCCACAUUGGGACUGAGAUACGGCCCAGACUCCUACGGGAGGCAGCAGUGGGGAAUAUUGCACAAUGGGCGGAAGCCUGAUGCAGCAACGCCGCGUGCGGGAUGACGGCCUUCGGGUUGUAAACCGCUUUCGCCUGUGACGAAGCGUGAGUGACGGUAAUGGGUAAAGAAGCACCGGCUAACUACGUGCCAGCAGCCGCGGUGAUACGUAGGGUGCGAGCGUUGUCCGGAUUUAUUGGGCGUAAAGGGCUCGUAGGUGGUUGAUCGCGUCGGAAGUGUAAUCUUGGGGCUUAACCCUGAGCGUGCUUUCGAUACGGGUUGACUUGAGGAAGGUAGGGGAGAAUGGAAUUCCUGGUGGAGCGGUGGAAUGCGCAGACAUCAGGAGGAACACCAGUGGCGAAGGCGGUUCUCUGGGCCUUUCCUGACGCUGAGGAGCGAAAGCGUGGGGAGCGAACAGGCUUAGAUACCCUGGUAGUCCACGCUGUAAACGGUGGGUACUAGGUGUGGGGUCCAUUCCACGGGUUCCGUGCCGUAGCUAACGCCUUAAGUACCCCGCCUGGGGAGUACGGCCGCAAGGCUAAAACUCAAAGGAAUUGACGGGGCCCCGCACAAGCGGCGGAGCAUGCGGAUUAAUUCGAUGCAACGCGUAGAACCUUACCUGGGUUUGACAUGGAUCAGGAGCGCUCAGAGAUGGGUGUGCCUCUUUUGGGGUCGGUUCACAGGUGGUGCAUGGCUGUCGUCAGCUCGUGUCGUGAGAUGUUGGGUUAAGUCCCGCAACGAGCGCAACCCUUGUUCACUGUUGCCAGCACGUUAUGGUGGGGACUCAGUGGAGACCGCCGGGGUCAACUCGGAGGAAGGUGGGGAUGACGUCAAGUCAUCAUGCCCCUUAUGUCCAGGGCUUCACGCAUGCUACAACGGCUGGUACAGAGAGUGGCGAGCCUGUGAGGGUGAGCGAAUCUCGGAAAGCCGGUCUCAGUUCGGAUUGGGGUCUGCAACUCGACCUCAUGAAGUCGGAGUCGCUAGUAAUCGCAGAUCAGCAACGCUGCGGUGAAUACGUUCCCGGGGCU
rnacentral:rRNA from 1 species